rnacentral:rRNA from 1 species
AACGAACGCUGGCGGCAUGCCUAACACAUGCAAGUCGAACGAUGCCUCCGGGCUUAGUGGCGCACGGGUGCGUAAAGGGGGGGAAUCUGCCUUUCGGUUCGGAAUAACUCAGGGGAACGUGAGCUAAUACCGGAUAACGUCGCAAGACCAAAGAUUUAUCUCCGAAAGAUGAGCCCGAGUAGGAUUCGCUAGUUGGUGAGGUAAAGGCGCACCAAGGCGACGCUCCUUAGCUGGUCAGAGAGGAAGAGCAGCCACACUGGGGCUGGGACACGGCCCAGACUCCUACGGGAGGGAGCAGUGGGGGAUCCUGGCCAGUGGGGGGCAGCAUGAUCCGGCUCUGCCGGGUGAGUGAUGAAGUCCGUAGAGUUGUCCAGUUCUUUUAUCCGCGAAGAUAAUGACGGUACCGGAAGAAUAAGCCCCGGCUAACUCCGUG